rnacentral:rRNA from 1 species
UACGGGGGGGGUAAGCGUUGUUCCGAAUUACUGGGCGUAAAGGGCUCGUAGGCGGCCAACUAAGUCAUACGUGAAAUCCCUCAGCUUAACUGGGGAACUGCGUGUGAUACUGGAUGGCUUGGAUUUGGGAGAGGGAUGCGGAAUUCCAGGUGUAGCGGUGAAAUGCGUAGAUAUCUGGAGGAACACCGGUGGCGAAGGCGGCAUCCUGGACCAAUAUUGACGCUGAGGAGCGAAAGCCAGGGGAGCAAACGGG